rnacentral:rRNA from 1 species
GAUGAACGCUGGCGGCGUGCUUAACACAUGCAAGUCGAACGAAGCACUUUAUUUGAUUUCCUUCGGGACUGAUUAUUUUGUGACUGAGUGGCGGACGGGUGAGUAACGCGUGGGUAACCUGCCUUGUACAGGGGGAUAACAGUUGGAAACGGCUGCUAAUACCGCAUAAGCGCACAGCAUCGCAUGAUGCAGUGUGAAAAACUCCGGUGGUAUAAGAUGGACCCGCGUUGGAUUAGCUAGUUGGUGAGGUAACGGCCCACCAAGGCGACGAUCCAUAGCCGACCUGAGAGGGUGACUGGCCACAUUGGGACUGAGACACGGCCCAAACUCCUACGGGAGGCAGCAGUGGGGAAUAUUGCACAAUGGGCGAAAGCCUGAUGCAGCGACGCCGCGUGAGCGAAGAAGUAUUUCGGUAUGUAAAGCUCUAUCAGCAGGGAAGAUAAUGACGGUACCUGACUAAGAAGCACCGGCUAAAUACGUG